GCACAAGGCGGUGGAGCAUGGUGGUUUAAUUCGAAGCAAACGCGAACGAACCUUACCAGGUCUUGACAUCCGACGCUAUUUCUAGAGAUAGAAAGUUACUUCGGUACAUCGGUGACAGGUGGUGCAUGGUUGUCGUCAGCUCGUGUCGUGAGAUGUUGGGGUUAAAGUCCCGCAACGAGCGCAACCCCUAUUGUUAGUUGCCAUCAUUCAGUUGGGCACUCUAGCGAGACUGCCGGUAAUAAACCGGAGAAGUGGGGAUGACGUCAAAUCAUCAUGCCCCUUAUGACCUGGGCUACACACGUGCUACAAUGGUUGGUACAACGAGUUGCGAGUCGGUGACGGCGAGCUAAUCUCUUAAAGCCAAUCUCAGUUCGGAUUGUAGGCUGCAACUCGCCUACAUGAAGUCGGAAUCGCUAGUAAUCGCGGAUCAGCACGCCGCGGUGAAUACGUUCCCGGGCCUU
rnacentral:rRNA from 1 species